CGAUAAAAUGCGAUUUCAUCGCAUAAAUUUACGAUAAAAUCGCGAUUUUAUCGACGGCAAUUUAUCGCAAUAUUAUCGAACAAAAAAUGUAAUAAAAUGAGAUAAAAUGUCAAUUUUAUCGAACGCGAUUUUAUAAAGAUAAAAUUGCAACAAGAUUGAGGAUAGCCGCUCGGAUGUAGAUGAUCUUAGAGGUUUGAACUCCAAAAAUUCGUGAAAAAUCGAAACUUAAUUUCAAAGUAUCGCAAUUUUCCGGAUCAAAUUUAAAAAUCAAACUUAAAUAAAUACGUCCAUUUUGUCUUAUUAAAAAUAGAUGUAUAUCAGUUUACCUGAUGGAACAUCCAACGAUCCGAGCAAAACAACGAAUUCCACGGAAUCCCCAGUCGAAAAGUCGAUCGUCUCAAGGUGGGUUCACACGUGCACUUUCGCCGUUGGCGCGCGCCAAACCGGAUCCGUCUCCUCGGGUCCGCGGUACAGAGAGCACGUUCCGACGCCCACCACGAGCGGGCGCGGGUGGUUUCACCUGAACACUCGGGCGGUGCGGCACGCGGCGCAGCGGGGCGCGAGCGGCUAAAUGUAAUAAACCCGAGCUACUUACCAGUCGAUGUGUGCGCGCGCCAACUGCGCUUUUGACUUAUCACCGCGUCCCUCUGACAGAUAAAUUAUACCCGGGGGUGCGCAGCCUUCGACUCGGGCGAAAGUGAGAACAUGCCCCGCCCCGCCCGGCCUGCAACCCCUCGCCGCGCACGGUGGGUCGGCUUUGUGCUGGUCGAUGGAAUUCGGUCGAAGAUUAAAUGGACGUAUUUAUGCGAAAAGGAACUAGGCGUAAGUGGGAAGAUGGGGUGUGCUCGUGGUGAGCUGGAUAAGAAACAAUGUAAAAGUGGAUAUAGUUCCUUUUGAGAAAAUGGGAAAGCGGGAUUUGACGUUAAAUCAAAAGGAACUGAGAACUAACUCGUGAGCCGUGGGCAUGAGACUAGAGCGUUGUGGACAGGGCUCAUGAGUUAAAGCCGAGCAGGAACGACAACGACGACGGCUUCGUUGCCGCUGACGUUACUGGCGCUUUAAAAUCCCCAUUCAUUCUUAUGGCCCUCAACUAACGAGCACACACCAUGAAUCUUUCCACUUGCACAUAGUUCUAUUUCGCAUAAAUAAGUCCAAAUACAUUGCAUUUAGAGUAGAAUGGACUAGAGUACCUUCAAAGGGUGAGUAUGGACAGCUCGAAAAUGUGGAGAUUAGGUUUCAUCAGGUUAUGAAGCUCUUAGGGUCCAUAAGGGCAGCCAACCUAUGAACUUGAACUAUCCAGUGGUACCAAUUUUCACAUUUUGACUAUUUGCACUGAUCAAAAAUUAUAAAAGCACGUAUAAAACUUUGAUUUCGCUUACGUUUUCUCAGUUUCAAAUUUUUAAUCCUUACAGACGCUUGUUUACAUUCAGCUGUCGGCCAUAUUGAGUAAUUUCGUAAUGCUCAGGUUGGCAGCGGCACACUUCUCGUGAUUUUCGUUUUUCACGUUGUCGCCCUUUUUGGCUUUAAGAGCUACAUAAAUUGAGUGGUUCAUACUUUCCCUAUAAAGGUACUCUAUAGGAUGGACAAGUCAAAAUAUGGAGCUCUUUUGACUGGCAAUCUGUUCUUCAUGUUGAUGCACCCCAUCCC
rnacentral:lncRNA from 1 species